AUUGAACGCUGGCGGAAUGCUUUACACAUGCAAGUCGAACGAUGAACCUUAGCUUGCUAAGGGGAUUAGUGGCGAACGGGUGAGUAAUGUAUCGGAACGUAUCCAAUAAUGGGGGAUAACUAGUCGAAAGAUUAGCUAAUACCGCAUACGUCCUACGGGAGAAAGCUAGGGACCUUCGGGCCUGGCGUUAAUGGAGCGGCCGAUAUCUGAUUAGCUAGUUGGUGGGGUAAAGGCUCACCAAGGCGACGAUCAGUAGCUGGUCUGAGAGGACGACCAGCCACACUGGAACUGAGACACGGUCCAGACUCCUACGGGAGGCAGCAGUGGGGAAUUUUGGACAAUGGGCGGAAGCCUGAUUCAGCCAUUCCGCGUGAGUGAAGAAGGCCUUCGGGUUGUAAAGCUCUUUCGCAAGGGAAGAAAACUUAAGCUCUAACAUAGCUUGAGGUUGACGGUACCUUGAUAAGAAGCACCGGCUAACUACGUGCCAGCCGCCGCGGUAA
rnacentral:rRNA from 1 species